rnacentral:rRNA from 1 species
UACAGAGGUCUCAAGCGUUGUUCGGAUUCAUUGGGCGUAAAGGGUGCGUAGGCGGCGAGGCAAGUCUGGUGUGAAAUCCCGGGGCUCAACCCCGGAACUGCACUGGAUACUGCUUUGCUAGAGUACUGGAGAGGGAACUGGAAUUUACGGUGUAGCAGUGAAAUGCGUAGAUAUCGUAAGGAAGACCAGUGGCGAAGGCGAGUUCCUGGACAGUUACUGACGCUGAGGCACGAAGGCCAGGGGAGCAAACGGG